GCACUUUACAGUGCUGGCUGAAGUAAGUCCGACGUGUCUGUCUGUUACGACACUGCCAUUCUUGGCUUUGGGAUUAC
rnacentral:ncRNA from 1 species